CACGUAGGGACCAAGCGUUGUCCGGAUUUAUUGGGCGUAAAGCGUGCGCAGGCGGUUGUGCAAGACCGAUGUGAAAUCCCCGGGCUUAACCUGGGAAUGGCAUUGGUGACUGCCACGUAGAGUGUGUCAGAGGGGGGUAGAAUUCCACGUGUAGCAGUGAAAUGCGUAGAGAUGUGGGAGGAAUACCGAUGGCGAAGGCAGCCCCCUGGGAUAACACUGACGCCUCAUGCACGAAAGCGUGGGGGAGCAAA
rnacentral:rRNA from 1 species